UACGUAGGGGGCGAGCGUUGUCCGGAUUCAUUGGGCGUAAAGAGCUCGUAGGCGGUUCGGCAAGUCGGGUGUGAAAACUCCAGGCUCAACCUGGAGACGCCACCCGAUACUGCUGUGACUCGAGUCCGGUAGGGGACCACGGAAUUCCUGGUGUAGCGGUGAAAUGCGCAGAUAUCAGGAGGAACACCAAUGGCGAAGGCAGCUCGCUGGGACGUGACUGACGCUGAGACGCGAAAGCGUGGGGAGCAAACAGG
rnacentral:rRNA from 1 species